AAAUGAGGACUUCUUACUAGAACUAGAUAAGUCUCAAUGUUCUUGAAGCAAGAAUAGAAGCCGCCUAGCUGUGGUGAUUCAUGCCUGUACCCUACCCCUGGGUGAGGCAAAAGAAUCACACGUUCAAGGCCAGCCUGGGCUUCAGUAAAACAUUGCCAAAGACAGAUUGGGGGUGGUGGUACAGAGGUAGCUAUAUAACCAACUUGAUCUAAAAAGUUAAAUAAAGUAAAAACAUCAGAAUUGUGUUUAUAUAAGUGUUUCCUAUACAACAAAAUACCGAGCUUGUACUCACAAGAACCACACAUACUUUGUUCUUUGCUCUAGGCUCUUGCCAUUUGGGAAAGCUUGUUUUUAAAGCACCAUCCAGUGGGUUCCCUGGCUCCUUGUCAUCUUUCUUUUUCAUUCUUUCUAGGUUCUACCUAGAAGAAACAUUUCUUUUAAUCUUUGUCUUUCUCUUAUAAUUUUCUUCUUUUGAUGAUGUUCCAUUUAAGAAAUGUGUAUUACUGUGUGUGUUAGGUGUUAGACAUUACAAAUCGUUGCAUGUUUAAAACCUUUCCAUCUUAGUAUCACACAUGAGUGGUACAUUGCCAGAGUAAUAGUCUCAAGGUUGAAGCUGUUCUCCGGCCUCCAGUCUCGCUCAUUGUUGGGGCAGGUGAGUGUAUGCUGUGGUGCACAUUUGAAGGUCAUAGGACAACCUGGCAGUCUGUUUUCACCUCCUGCCUUGUUGAGAUAGGGUCCUCUUUCUUUCUGCCACACUGCUUACGCCGGAGUACCUGCCCAUGCGCUUCUAGGCAGUCCUGUCUCCCAGUACAAGUGCUGGCUGGGGUCAUGUGUUAAUCACACCGAGUGCUUUUAAAUGGGUUCCAAGGAUUGAACCCAGAACUCAGGUCGUCAGGCUGGCAGGAAUAGUGCUUUUACGCACCAACCCAUCUCACUCAGACCUCCAUUGCUUUUUGUUUUGUUUUAUCAUUUUCUUUUCUUUGUUCUUUUGAGACAGGAUCUCAUUAAGCCCAGACUGCCCUACACUUCAUACAUAGCUGAGAACAACUUUGAAUGCCUCAUCCUCCUGCCUCCACCUCUCGCAUGUUGGCUGUCUUACUGUUCUGUUGGUAUGCAGAGACGCCGUGAUCAAGGCAAAUUAUAAAACAUUAUUUGUUGGCUUGCUUAAGUUCCAGAGGAUCACCUCAAGCUGGCCUAUGUUUCAAAUGAUACUGGAAUCUUCAAGCAUCUGGCUGUUGACGAGCUUGUUAAGUUCAUAGUCACAAUUGCCUCCAAAUUGCAGUUUUUGCUCUGCAAGCUUGGGCAGUUCCUUAAGAGGCCCUGGUAGUGGGUUAGAGGAUGAAUUAUAUUCUGCCAGGAUUUCCCAGAGCUGCCAACUUCAUGAAAAAUGUCUAUGAAAUCUGAAAAUUUGGUAUAAUAAAUUACAACUUCAUCUUUUCAUCUUCCUUAAAUUGUUUCAUUUCACUACAACAAUUUUGAAGUAUUUGUUGGCAACCCUACCAUUGUGAGAUAUAUAACAUACACAAAUUUACCUGAAAACUUUUUACUUCUAAUUUAGAUGAAGUUGCUAAGUAAGGGAUUUUUAAUACUUGGUUUACUUCCAACAAGUCCAUUUAAACUUGAUAUGGUACAGAAAAAAAAAAACAAACAAACAAAAAACACAACCUGGUUUCUCUUCAAUAGCAAUACAGUACAAGAGUUAGGGAGGAAGUAUAUAGUUUAUUAAAAUGACUAAAGGUUUACUAAUUCUUUAAAAAAGGAAGAACUUUU